AACGUAGGAGACAAACGUUAUCAGGAGUUACUGGGCGUAAAGGGCGUGUAGGUGGUAGUGUAAGUCUGGCGUGAAAUUUUUCGGCUUAACCGGGAAAGGUCGUCGGAUACUGCACAACUAGAGGACGGUAGAGGCGUGUGGAAUUCCGGGUGUAGUGGUGAAAUGCGUAGAGAUCCGGAGGAACACCAGUGGCGAAGGCGACACGCUGGGCCGUACCUGACACUGAUGCGCGACAGCAUGGGGAGCAAACAGG
rnacentral:rRNA from 1 species